AACGAACGCUGGCGGCAGGCCUAACACAUGCAAGUCGAGCGCGCCUUCGGGUGAGCGGCGGACGGGUGAGUAACGCGUGGGAAUAUGACCUUCUCUACGGAAUAGUCCUGGGAAACUGGGGGUAAUACGGUAUACGGCCUAUGGGGGAAGGAUUUAUCGGGGAAGGAUUAGCCCGCGUUGGAUUUGGUAGUUGGUGGGGUAAUGGCCUGCCAAGUCGACGAUCCAUAGCUGGUUUGAUGAGAUGAGCAACCACACUGGGACUGAGACACGGCCCAGACUCCUACGGGAGGCAGCAGUGGGGAAUCUUAGACAAUGAGGGCAACCCUGAUCUAGCCAUGCCGCGUAAGUGAUGAAGGCCUUAGGGUUGUAAAGCUCUUUCAGCUGAGAAGAUAAUGACGGUACCAGCAGAAGAAGCCCCGGCUAACUCCGUG
rnacentral:rRNA from 1 species